CAGAUGACGGAAAAUGCGGAUGUUGAGUGUAUGACGUUUAUAAGGUUGUUUUUGUUUUAACAAAAAAAAAAGCCGACAGAAACCGAGUGCUACAUCUAAAUAUUUUAGCAAAGCCCUUAAGUUAAAGUUAAACUAAAUGUUAAAUUAGCUUUAUAUGAGCUAGCUAGGUAGCUGUUGCACCGUAAUAGCGUUGACAAAUGAACCGUUCCUUAAAGACACUUCUGCGGAAAAGUGGUCCUCUGGCACACCCGCUGCUGAUUGAACAGGAAAAACAGGAGAAACUUCCACACUGCAGAGUGUGGAUGUGCAAGAACAGCAAACUCACUAAUACGUCCAGUCUUCCUGGUAUCUGCUAAAGUCAUCUCCAGGUCAAUUUGUUCCUUCGCCAGGUUGAUGAAACAUC